AGUUCCUAACAUUUCGGCACCUCGUUUGGACAAAAGAACAACAACAUAUACGUACAUUCACUUUUGGCAUGUAAUAACUUAUGCAUUCGUAUUUUGAAGAAUAGGUAAGCAAGUAGGAAGCUUUGACAAACAUGCAGAAUGCAAUGCAAGAAAUCUAGAUCUAUGAAUUGAUGUGGUAGUUGUUAUGGCAACGGACAAUGGAAAUCAUCAACCAUCAAAGAUACCUUUGACAGACAAUGAGGCAGAACAUAAACACCAAGUGAAUAUAUUCUCGUUGGCMGGUCAACUUGGCUACAGUCGGUCUAAUAAAUCAUGACAUUUCAACAUCCUAUUCAAAGGAGCCAGGGAAACCCAUUUGAUGUCUACAUAGAGUUUUCUAGAUUUUUUAAAUAUUAUUAUUAUUGUUAAUGCCGAAAUCAAAUGGAAAAAUAAAUUGAAGAGAAAAGCAUUAUUUAUUUUCGUCCCGCUGAUUGAGCGAUAUUAUAAAAGCGGUGACGUUAAUUAUCUCCAGGCGACAMGACGUCAAGGGAUCGACCUCGUUUUCAUUUAGGGGUAAAAAAGGAAAAAGAAAAGAAAAAUACACCUGCCUACCCCAUAAUGCAAUGGGGUCAUGGUUUCGAAGGAAAACAGACCAAAUUGAAAUGUACCAGGCAUAUUAUUCAUGUAUACAUUUCUGAAUUCUCCGUAUUUUAACCGUUCUUAUAAUAGUAUUUAUAACCUCUAGGAUAUCAUAUAAAUCUGUAGAGAUGAUUAAGACAGGGAUAGCUCAGCCGGAUUGCAAAGAAAAGGAUCCUUUGGAAUUGGAUGGAGAUUUUGAGGAAGAGUUUGCAGAACUUAGGAAAUGUCCUAUUUUCUCGGAGAGGCAAAAGAGUAGACCUGUACUACCAGCUACCAGGGAGCGCAGUUCGAUAAAAAGUUUAAUCAGGUUCAUGAAGUCUGCUGUAGGCAAAGAUCUGACCAAAGUGACUAUGCCAGUUCACUUCAAUGAACCACUGUCAUUUCUACAGAGACUAUCAGAAGAUCUGGAAUAUGCUGACAUACUAAACAGAGCAUGUGUGUGUAAAAACUCCUUUGUAAGAUUGGCUCACGURGGAGCUUUUGCUUGUUCUACAUACUCAACAGUAUUGUCCAGGUUCUGGAAGCCUUUUAACCCUCUUCUUGGAGAAACCUUUGAAUAYAUCAACACAGAUCUUGGCUAUGCACUUAUAGCUGAACAGGUAUCCCAUCACCCUCCCAUCUCUGCUCUUCAUGCCGAAUCGGAUCACUGGGUCUUCUGGCAAGAGUACAGACUUGAUACUAAAUUUAGAGGGCAGUUUUUCAAAGUCAUUCCUACUGGUAUGUGUCACUUGAAGUUUAAAACCAACGGACAUCAUUUCUCUUGGAAGAAGCCUAUCACGACAAUCCAUAACAUCUUGGUGGGAAGCCUUUAUGUUGAUCAGGAAGGAGAUGUGUUGGUUACUAACCAUCAGACAAGGGAAACYUGUACAAUGCACUUUACACCUGUCAGAAAGGCACAGGAGAAGUUUACAGUCGUUAAAGGAGAGGUAAAGGACGCAGAUAGUAACAUACGAUAUAUCGUUAAUGGUUCUUGGGACCGCUCAUUAGAGUGUACGCCCGUUGAUGGAGAUGUGAAUUGUGACAGCAUUGAUCUUUGGACCGUAAACCGCAGACCCGAAGAUUCCCACAAGAUGUACUCGUUUACGAAUUUCACGAUACAACUGAACGACCCUGAUUACGGAUCAACAUGYCCCACUGAUUGUCGAAACAGACCAGAUAUACGGCUACUCGAGAGUGGCAAGAUUGACAGUUCUGCUGGCGAGAAACACCGUCUCGAGGAAAGACAGAGAGCAUCGCGUAAGGAGCGGGAUUUAUCAAACGAGGCAUGGACUCCAAGAUGGUUCGUUCCCCGAGAGGACCCCUACACGAGGACGUUUGACUACGUCUACAAAGGAGGCUACUGGCGAAGCAAACUUCGAGGUCACUUCGAUAAAAUCCCAAGUAUUUAUUAGCUAACACUUGAUAGAUGUAUUUUAUUUUAUGAGCAUGCRAUGCAAGUCUACUCUUCUCUUCCGAAGUGCAAUCUUAGCGAGUCAAAAUUCUUUCUGACGGCUUCUGAAAUAACGCUCUUUACUUGAAGCUUCCGACAAUAUAAYGUGGUCUAUAUCCUACUAAUUUCUGAUUGGACACUUUUGGUCCAAUGAGAUUACAGGAAAAAUCCGUCACUUGACAUUGUGCUUUUUUUAAUAUCAUUUGACCAACGAUCUGAUUUUACGCCUUGGAUCCAAGGAGAUUACAGUGAAAAACUCUCGUGACCCUGAACGGAUAUGUUUCAUGGUAUGUGUAGGAUAUAUUUUAUUAACGAUUCGUGAUUGGAGACUUUGGAUCCAAUAAGAUUGCAAGAAAAACUCACGUGGCCACUGACAUCAUCGAGUGAGGGAAUCCCAGCGAAAACCUCAUAUCAAAAACUCCAUCUUAAAACACAUCGAUAACAGAAAUGAAAACCACGCUAUAGCAGUUUGUUGUAGUAUUGGACUUAAUCUCAUUGACUAAGCUGACAGCAACGACAGCAUUUGACAACUUAAGAACCAUACUUCUUGCUUUGGAAACUUGGAAUCCUUAUCUUCUUUCUGCUUGCAAUUGCCUUUACAAGCCUUCUGGUGUUCAAGUCUUGAUCUUGGGAUAGUAUUGGUGCUUACUUGAUCAUAAUAAUCUACCAUACGGUCUUAUCUAUAUUGUCUUGUCUAGAACCUUUGUUCUUAAAUAUAACCAGCUUUAUUGACAUGUUCCAUAUGAGGAAAGCAUUUGGUAUCUAAUCACAUCACAAGGAGGUAACAAUGUUGAGUCAACUAAAGAGGAGGACCGCUGACAUGAUCGCAGUCAUUACGAGCGACGUCAUCCAGCAAAAAUGGUUGAUAGUAGUAUUGAAGUCAUUUGGCCAAUCAAAACUCUCGUAGUAUCGUGUUCCUGCCGUAUAAGAUCAGCUGGACAGCCUUCCUCAAAAUGCGAAACCACUGGUUUUAUUUGAGUGUAGUUGAAAAUAAGUAGUAUAUGAAGAUAGUUUUGACUGCGCAGGAACGGUAACCAUUACCAUGCAAAUUAGACUUUACGAGUUUUUAAAGGAAGAAAAAAGACUUAAAGUGCUUAUAAGCCUCUGCACAAUAUUUUCAGAAUUGAUUCUUUAGAUAGUGGAUAGU